GGGUGUGAGGACGAUUUGGCUGUGACAUCUUGAUAUUCAUUACCAGAGCUGAUUAUGUUGAUCUAGAUGGCUAGAGGGCUAAGGAUGCCCUCUUUCUCCCUCAUCACCCCAGUGUGUUUCUCUAGGGCUGUAUGCACCAUCAAAAAGGACAGUGUCUUCUAUAGAGGAGGACCACUCUUUGGAUAGUGAUACACAAGUGGCUGUGCUUUCCUGCCAGAAGCUUCAAAUGGCUCUCAAGAAGGAUAUGUGGGAAUAUGUCUAUUCAGGAUUUAUGUAGGAGCUAUGAGUACGGACUGUGGGUCAGAAAGACUUGAUUCUGCCUGUUGCUGGAAGAACAA
ensembl:misc_RNA 7SK 7SK RNA